ACGAACGCUGGCGGCAGGCCUAACACAUGCAAGUCGAACGCCCUAGCAAUAGGGAGUGGCAGACGGGUGAGUAACACGUGGGAACCUUCCCUAUAGUACGGAAUAGCCCAGGGAAACUUGGAGUAAUACCGUAUAAGCCCGAGAGGGGAAAGAUUUAUCGCUAUAGGAUGGGCCCGCGUAGGAUUAGCUAGUUGGUGAGGUAAUGGCUCACCAAGGCGACGAUCCUUAGCUGGUUUGAGAGAACGACCAGCCACACUGGGACUGAGACACGGCCCAGACUCCUACGGGAGGCAGCAGUGGGGAAUAUUGGACAAUGGGCGCAAGCCUGAUCCAGCCAUGCCGCGUGAGUGAUGAAGGCCUUAGGGUUGUAAAGCUCUUUUAGCAGGGAAGAUAAUGACUGUACCUGCAGAAUAAGCUCCGGCUAACUUCGUGCCAGCCGCCGCGGUAAU
rnacentral:rRNA from 1 species